CUCUCCAGCUCUCAACGUCUCAACUGCUGUUCAUCGCCAGGGCUCUAAGACAGCGAGCCAUGUUCCUUCUUCUGGUGCUUCUCACUGGACUUGGUGGGAUGCAUGCAGACCUCAAUCCUCAUAAAAUCUUCCUGCAGACCACAAUUCCAGAGAAGAUUUCAUCAUCGGAUGCAAAAACAGAUCCAGAACAUAAUAUCAAUUUUAUCUUCAGCUUCUGUUAUUAAUUCUUAUGACGAAAAUGACAUCCGUCAUUCCAAACCUCUGCUAGUUCAGAUGGAUUGCAAUUAUAAUGGAUAUGUUGCGGGUAUUCCAAAUUCUCUUGUGACUCUCAGCGUAUGUUCAGGACUCAGGGGAACAAUGCAGCUGAAAAACAUCUCAUAUGGAAUUGAACCGAUGGAGGCUGUAUCAGGAUUUAUACACAAGAUUUAUGAAGAAAAAUAUGCUGACACUAAUAUUCUCUUAGAAGAAAAUGACACUUAUACUUGGUUUAAUUCAGAGUAUCAAGUCAGAAAAAGUUCAGAAAAAACUGACUUUAUUAAGUUAUUCCCUCGAUAUAUUGAAAUGCAUAUUGUUGUGGACAAAAAUUUGACGGAGUCUCGAUCUGUUGCCCAGACUGGAGUGCAGUGGCAUGAUCUUGGCUCACCACAACCUCUGCCUUCUGGGUUCAAGCGAUUCAUCUGCCUCAGCCUCCCAAGUAGCUGGGACUGCAAGGUACUCUGGUGGUGUAAAGGAUUUUAACAUCUGUAGCUUGGAUGACUUUAAAUAUAUUUCUUCUCAUAAUGGCCUUACAUGUCUUCAGACAAACCCUCUUGAAAUGCCAACCUACACACACAGGAGAAUAUGUGGCAAUGGGUUGUUGGAAGGAAGUGAAGAAUGUGACUGUGGCACUAAAGACUUCAAACCGGCUAAUAUGAUUUGUAGGAAAUCAGUUGGUAAAGAAUGCGAUUUCACUGAAUAUUGCAAUGGGGACCUUCCAUACUGUUUGCCUGACACUUAUGUACGUGAUGGAGAAUAUUGUGAUUCAGGUGGAGCCUUCUGUUUUCAAGGAAAGUGUCGGACUUUUGACAAACAAUGUGAUGAUUUAAUUGGAAGAGGUUCAAGAGGUGCUCCGGUUUUCUGUUAUGAUGAAAUUAAUACCAGAGGAGACAAUUUUGGAAACUGUGGCACUGCACACUGUCUUUUUCAACAUAUUCUAUGUGGAAAAUUAGUCUGUACAUGGGAACACAGAGACUUAAUAUCACGUCCAAAUUUAUCUGUGAUUUAUGCACAUGUACGAGACCAAACAUGUGUGUCUACAUACCUACCCAGGAGGACGCCACCUCCAGUAAAUUCACCUAUUUCAAUCACAUCAUAUUAUUCAGCUGAAGACAGAGAUGAAACAUUUGUACAAGAUGGUUCCAUGUGUGGUCCUGAUAUGUAUUGUUUCGAAAUGCAUUGUAAACAUGUUAGAUUCCUGAUGAAUUUAAAAUUGUGUGAUGCUUCUAAUCAUUGUGAUCGUCAUGGAGUUUGCAACAAUUUUAACCAUUGCCAUUGUGAAAAGGGAUAUAAUCCUCCUUACUGCCAACCAAAGCAAGGAGCAUUUGGAAGUAUUGAUGAUGGACACUUAGUACCACCAACUGAGAGAAGUUACAUGGAGGAGGGAAGAUAGGCCACUUUUCAAAAACAACGGUUUCAACUCAUUUUCUACAUUUCUCUACCUGUGCUUCUUAUUACUACUGCCAUUUUAAUAAAACAGAAAAAAUUGAGAGAGCUAUGCUAUAGAGGGGAAAAUGAAAGUGAGAGCUCUGUGUCAGAAGAAAGCAGCAGUAACAGCAAGUCAUCCCUCAGUGAAAGCACCAGUCUCUAACAACCUUGAAUGCUACUGCUUGGAGAGAGGAGAGUAACAAAUACAUUAUCAGAAACUGGCCCAAACCAAGGAGGAACAAGACACAAUUUCUCUCUCAUUGCUCUUGUCACUGCUGAGGGUUUUAAACUAUGAAAUAAAUCAUCUGGCCUGAA
ensembl:lncRNA novel transcript